AUUGAACGCUGGCGGCAGGCUUAACACAUGCAAGUCGAGCGAGCGGCGGACGGGUGAGGAAUGUAUGGGGACUGCCCGAUAGAGGGGGAUAACUACUGGAAACGGUAGCUAAUACCGCAUACUAUCGGAUAACCCAUAUGGGAUUAGCUAGUAGGUGAGGUAAUGGCUCACCUAGGCGACGAUCCCUAGCUGGUCUGAGAGGAUGAUCAGCCACACUGGGACUGAGACACGGCCCAGACUCCUACGGAGGCAGCAGUGGGGAAUAUUGCACAAUGGGCGCAAGCCUGAUGCAGCCAUGCCGCGUGUAUGAAGAAGGCCCUAGGGUUGUAAAGUACUUUCAGUCGGGAGGCGUUACUCGCAGAAGAAGCACCGGCUAACUCCGUGCCAGCAGCCGCGGUAAUAC
rnacentral:rRNA from 1 species